rnacentral:rRNA from 1 species
UACGGGGGGGGCAAGCGUUGUUCGGAAUUACUGGGCGUAAAGGGCUCGUAGGCGGCCAACUAAGUCAGACGUGAAAUCCCCAGGCUUAACCUGGGAACUGCGUCUGAUACUGGAAGGCUCGAGUUCGGGAGAGGAAUGUGGAAUUCCAGGUGUAGCGGUGAAAUGCGUAGAUAUCUGGAGGAACACCGGUGGCGAAGGCGGCAUUCUGGACCGAAACUGACGCUGAGGCGCGAAAGCCAGGGGAGCAAACGGG